GAUGAACGCUGGCGGCGUGCCUAAUACAUGCAAGUCGAGCGAACAGACGAGGAGCUUGCUCCUCUGACGUUAGCGGCGGACGGGUGAGUAACACGUGGAUAACCUACCUAUAAGACUGGGAUAACUUCGGGAAACCGGAGCUAAUACCGGAUAAUAUAUUGAACCGCAUGGUUCAAUAGUGAAAGACGGUUUUGCUGUCACUUAUAGAUGGAUCCGCGCCGCAUUAGCUAGUUGGUAAGGUAACGGCUUACCAAGGCGACGAUGCGUAGCCGACCUGAGAGGGUGAUCGGCCGCACUGGAACUGAAACACGGUCCAUGCUCCUACGGGAGGCAGCAGUAGGGAAUCUUCCGCAAUGGGCGAAAGCCUGACGGAGCAACGCCGCGUGAGUGAUGAAGGUCUUCGGAUCGUAAAACUCUGUUAUUAGGGAAGAACAAAUGUGUAAGUAACUAUGCACGUCUUGACGGUACCUAAUCAGAAAGCCACGGCUAACUACGUG
rnacentral:rRNA from 1 species